rnacentral:tRNA from 1 species
UCUAAUGUGGCAGAAUUGUAUGCAAUGAAUUUAAAAUUCAUUUAUAAGUAUUUAUAUUUCUUUAGAA